rnacentral:rRNA from 1 species
GAUGAACGCUGGCGGCGUGCCUAAUACAUGCAAGUCGAGCGAACAGAUAAGGAGCUUGCUCCUUUGACGUUAGCGGCGGACGGGUGAGUAACACGUGGGUAACCUACCUAUAAGACUGGGAUAACUUCGGGAAACCGGAGCUAAUACCGGAUAACAUUUGGAACCGCAUGGUUCUAAAGUGAAAGAUGGUUUUGCUAUCACUUUUAGAUGGACCCGCGCCGUAUUAGCUAGUUGGUAAGGUAACGGCUUACCAAGGCGACGAUACGUAGCCGGACUGGGAGGGUGAUCGGCCACACUGAAAAUGAGACACGGUCCAGAAUCCUACGGGAGGCAGCAGUAGGGAAUCUUCCGCAAUGGGCGAAAGCCUGACGGAGCAACGCCGCGUGAGUGAUGAAGGGUUUCGGCUCGUAAAACUCUGUUAUUAGGGAAGAACAAACGUGUAAGUAACUGUGCACGUCUUGACGGUACCUAAUCAGAAAGCCACGGCUAACUACGUGCCAGCCGCCGCAGUAA